CGUAACGCCAUCUGGAGGAUAGCUAGGCUCGGACGCUGAAGAAGGGCGCGGCAAGCCGCGAAAAGCCUCGGGUAGGUGCAUGCAACCUUAGAUCCGAGGGUGCCUGAAUGGGACUUCCCGCCAUAGCUUGACUAUGGCACUCCUCACUGGGAGGAGGAACCCCCCGAAUGGAAACAUCUUAGUAGAGGGAGGAAGAGAAAUCAAUUGAGAUUCCCUUAGUAGCGGCGAGUGAAAAGGGAAAAGUUCAAACUGAAUCCUAUAGGGAAACCUAUAGGAGAUGUAGGGUUGUGGACCCGGUUGCUAUCUCGUCUGUGAAGCCGAAGUGGUCUGGAAAGACCUGUCGUAGAGGGUGAUAACCCCGUAGGCGUAAA
rnacentral:rRNA from 1 species